rnacentral:rRNA from 1 species
AUUGCCUCAGUAACGGCGAGUGAAGCGGCAAGAGCUCAAAUUUGAAAUCUGGCCCCUCCGGGGUCCGAGUUGUAAUUUGUAGAGGAUGCUUCGGGUGCGGCCCCCGUCUAAGUGCCCUGGAACGGGCCAUCGGAGAGGGUGAGAAUCCCGUCUGGGACGGGGUGUCCGCGUCCAUGUGAAGCUCCUUCGACGAGUCGAGUUGUUUGGGAAUGCAGCUCUAAAUGGGUGGUAAAUUUCAUCUAAAGCUAAAUACUGGCCGGAGACCGAUAGCGCACAAGUAGAGUGAUCGAAAGAUGAAAAGCACUUUGAAAAGAGAGUUAAACAGCACGUGAAAUUGUUGAAAGGGAAGCGCUUGCGACCAGACUCGCUUCCGGGGUUCAGCCGGCUUUCGGGCCGGUGUACUUCCCCGGGGGCGGGCCAGCGUCGGUUUGGGCGGCCGGUCAAAGGCCCCUGGAAUGUAACGCCUCUCGGGGCGCCUUAUAGCCAGGGGUGUCAUGCGGCCAGCCUGGACCGAGGAACGCGCUUCGGCACGGACGCUGGCA